UCUAAUUGUGGCGCAGAACGGAUCAUCCACUCACCUGAAAUCUUAUACGGUUCCUGGUUCCUCUUCCUCUUAUUUUUCUCCACAUUCUAUUACAUGUUCUGCGCAUCCUGCGGUGACACGCGAAGGCUAUUGGUCCUGCUUCUACUCCUUCUUCUUCGCACACAAGCAAUGGUAGUGAUUCACGAAGGCAGGCUGGUCGUGCCAUCAACAACAACAACUAUCGAACGCCGAUGACGAUGCUCCUACUUCUUGCCGUGUUGAAGCGAGCAUUCCUUCGAAUAUACGACACAGGCUUCCAUCCUGACUGACAAGAAAGUGGAAAUCGGAAGUAAAAGCAUGCAAACGAAUGAUUUACCAUCAACACCUCUCAACCUUUCUCCAGUGAUUAUUUCAACGCCUAUUGUCCAUACACCCUCAUGCUCACAGGUGCAUGAUAUGACAAUAUCUUCACCACUGGUGGAACCAGCUGAUGAGGCUUCUGGGAAUCUGAAGACAACAGUUUUGAAUGUGUUGCGCCCUCUGCUUCACCAGACCACAAGAAGUACGUCAUAUUCGGAGCUCCACUAUUAGAACUGUUCGAGAAAUGCAGGACUUAUAGUGCAUCGCACAAAGUGGGCACAGAUGUUCGCGGCACACUUCUCACCGCAAAAGCUGAGUGCCCAAGUGAACACACAUUAUCUUGGUAGAGCCAGCCAGAGGUGAACAAGAUGGCUGCAGGGAACGCCUUGCUGUUUGGCGUAAUCCUUUUCAGUGGGGCCAGCGCAGCCAAGUGCUCACGGUCAAACCGUCCGGUGUACUUCUGUCAAGAUGGCAGACAACACGUAUACUGCACCACACAUCGCGAAGGCGAAAGCCUUCGUAUGCUUCACAAGGAAAGUUUCCUCUUAU